UGGCGGCGUGCUUAACACAUGCAAGUGGAGCGACGAACCGGGGCUUGCCCCGGGGCAGAGCCGCGAACGGGUGAGUAACACGUGGGUAACCUGCCUCAAUGAUUGGGACAACCCGGGGAAACUCGGGCUAAUACCAAAUGUGUUCACUCCUUUUAAGGGGAGUGAGGAAAGGAAGCUUCGGCCUCCGCAUUGAGAUGGGCCCGCGGCCCAUUAGCUUGUUGGUGAGGUAACGGCUCACCAAGGCUUCGAUGGGUAGCUGGUCUGAGAGGACGAUCAGCCACACUGGGACUGAGACACGGCCCAGACUCCUACGGGAGGCAGCAGUGGGGAAUCUUGCACAAUGCGCGAAAGCGUGAUGCAGCAACGCCGCGUGGGGGAAGACGGCCUUCGGGUUGUAAACCCCUUUCAGUUGGGACGAAGCUUCGUCGGUGAAUAGCCGGUUGGAGUGACGGUACCUUCAGAAGAAGCCCCGGCUAACUACGUG
rnacentral:rRNA from 1 species